GACGAACGCUGGCGGCGUGCCUAACACAUGCAAGUCGAACGGAGAUACGAUUUCGGUUGUAUCUUAGUGGCGAACGGGUGAGUAACGCGUGAGCAACCUGACCUUUAGAGGGGGAUAACACUUGGAAACAGGUGCUAAUACCGCAUAAGACCACGACCCGACAUCGGGAUGAGGUCAAAGGAGUAAUCCGCUAGAGGAGGGGCUCGCGUCCCAUUAGAUAGAUGGCGGGGUAACGGCCCACCAUGUCGACGAUGGGUAGCCGAGCUGAGAGGCUGAUCGGCCACACUGGAACUGAGACACGGUCCAGACUCCUACGGGAGGCAGCAGUGGGGAAUAUUGGGCAAUGGGCGCAAGCCUGACCCAGCAACGCCGCGUGAGGGAAGAAGGCCUUCGGGUUGUAAACCUCUGUCCUUGGUGACGAAAAAAUGACGGUAGCCAAGGAGGAAGCCCCGGCUAACUACGUGCCAGCAGCCGCGGUAAGAGUACUCUAU
rnacentral:rRNA from 1 species